ensembl:lncRNA
UCUCUCUGUUGUGUCCGAAUGGGUGAGCCCCUGUCUCUGCGGCUUUAUACGGGGGCGAGGUGGGGUUAGCCUAGCCUAGGCUAGGCUAGGCUAGGCUAGGCUAGGCUAGGCUAGGCUAGGCUAGGCUAGGCUAGGCUACCCCCGCGCGGACGGAGUCUGCUGGUCGACCGACCCGACCACCUAGUCAACCCGAACGAGGGUGCCGCCGGUGCGUCCCAGCGGCUCCCCCCCAACCCUGCUGCCUUCCCUGCCGGGAGGGCACAGGACCGGUUCCCCAGCGCGGGGAAGCCCGGGCCCCCCUUGCCCCAGGACCCACGAGGCGCUCGGCCGACGCGCCGGGGACCGGGUUCUCCGAGGAGGUGGGAGGUGAUCGAGAAGUUGUGUCGAGUGAGAUCGAGCCCCGGAUGGGCCCCAAGCUCCUCUCGGCCCGCUCUUCCGCCACUUCUCGCCUGCCGGCAACCCCUUCUGCCACGCCAAAAGCCCCGGGAGGCCGUCGGGACCCGCCCGCGACCGCUCGGGCCCCACCCCCCCACGGUGGGAGCCAGAAAGGCGAUCGCGGCGUCGAGGGGGGGGACGCGCGUGAGACCCCCCCCUCCCCCCAGAAGCCAGGCCCGACGAGCCAAGCCGAGGCUGCCCGGGCCCGUGUGCGCACACGGGCGCGGGACGCAGGCAGCGGGAAGAGGCGCCCGGGAGGGACGGAAGCGCCGGCGCAGGCCGACCGCCGCCCCGCUCUCAUCCGCGGAGUACGAGAGGCAGGCGCGACGCGAGACAACCGCCCUCGGAGUGGGAGCGGGAGAGAGAACGCUCUCUCCCAGAGACGAGACAAACGAAUGCACGCACGCGCGCACGACAAAAGCUUGUGUCAAGGGCUGACUUUCAAUAGAUCGCAGCGAGGGAGCUGCGGUAUCGUCACGCUUAGGGGGGAUUCUGACUUACGGAGGCGUUCAGUCAUAAUCCCACAGAUGGUAGCUUCGCCCCAUUGGCUCCUCAGCCAAGCACAUACACCAUAA